rnacentral:rRNA from 1 species
CUCUAUGGCCAUGUCACCGUGAAUGCACGUGAUUUCCUCUGAUCUCAGAAGCUAAUUGCAGUUAGGCCUUUUCAUUACUUAGAGGGGAGACCAACCUGGGAUACCCAGUGCUGUGGGCU